rnacentral:lncRNA from 1 species
AUUCAAGAGAUUAGCAUGAGUACAUCAGAGAUGCCCUGACAGUUGACAGAGUGUUUUUGCUGUGGUUGUGUGUUUGGUAUUCAAAUAGAUCCCUUUUUGAUGAGUAAGAGAGAGCCCCACCCCUUUAAGAACAGGGCUAAACUCCUAUGUGCAUAUACUUAGUUGAGCAGGUUGCAAAGCAGCAAGUCGAUCUCCAACUUGCUCCCACUAAUAGCUGGAAUACUACAGACAAAUUGUAAACACACUACUUUCACAGCAGGGGUGUGCUAUUGCUGCUUUUACUUGCCAUAGGAGUUGGCACAAGUCACACACACACACACAGACACACACACACACAUAUACACCCACGCACGCACGCACACCCACGCACGCACACACACAGACAAACAGUUUCUUCUGCAGGUUUGAACUGCGAUCAAGAUGGGCAAUGAGCAUUCCAAAAACAAGGCUGAGCAGGCUCCAGAAAAGCCCCUGCAUGGAGGUUUGAAUGGCCAUGCUGUAAGCAUCUCAUCCAAUGGCCUGGAGAAUGUUACCAGUGAAGCAGCUGUGGAGCAGAACAGUAUGCCUACCUCACUGCCUCCCUCUGAAGAGUCAGGUAUAGUGGAGGCAGAUGGCAGUGGUCUUGGGCCUGUGGUGGUGGAACAGAAGUCUGCCGUCAAGAAGGUUCCAGAAGUGGAACCAGAGACACAGAAUGCUAAGACUCAAAACACAGCGGAACCGGAACUGGAACCAGCCACCCAAGAGAAGGAGGAGCCCAAGAACAGUACACAAGAAAAAGUGAACAUCUUUGAAAAUCUGUUCAAGAAGAAAGCUAAGCCUCAACCCACCCCCAACCCGGAUCCAGCCCUGGAAAAGGAGGAGCCCAUAAGGGAGAAGAUUGUGGAGGAGAUUGAAAGUUCUGCGGAAGAUCAGAAAGUCCCUGUGGCUGUGACCGAUGGGAUCCAAGCUGAGCCACUUGCUGAGGUAAAGGAGGAUACAGAGACUUCAAAGGAGCGUCCCAACCCUAGUCCAGAGGCAGAGGAGGUCAAAAGCCCCAAAAUUGCAGAGGAAAGCAGUCACAUUCAGGAAAACCAAGAGGGAGAGAGUCAAACAGAAGAUAAUCCAGUUAUGAACUUCUUCAAAACACUAGUGACUCCCAUAAAAAAAAACAAGCAAGAAACAGCCACCCCUGAUGUUGCAAAAGACCAGAAAGAGGCCCAACCAACAACAACUACUGCUGCACAACUAGUGGAUGCAACAGCCAAAGGAGGAAUGUUAAUCCCACCAGCUGCAGCCCCAGCCCCAGCCCCGGCCCCAGCCCCGGCCGCAGCCCCGGCCGCAGCCCCUGCCCCACCCGCAGCCGCAGCCCCAGCCCCAGCCCCACCUAAGAUGGAGGUUAAAGCAGAACUAGCUGCCCAACCUGUGACCAACGCACCAAAAGAAGAACCAAAGGGUGCUGCCAAAGAAGCAGAGGCCGCCAAGCCGAAAUCUGACCGCCCGUUCAGCAGACUUUUCAGCAGAAAGGCACUGAUAGGCCUCAAGUCUAAAAUCAAGGUUAAGUCAACAAGUGGAGCCAGAGCCCCUGCCAAGCCUGCUGCAGCGACAGUGGAACCAGUGGAGCCACAGCCGGUUGUGGAAGUACAGAAUGUAGACUUCUCAAAGACGGCCACUCUGGAGGCCUCUGCCACUCUAGAACCACCACCACCUGCACCAGAGGACGAGAAGACACCUGCUGCCUCCAAAGCCUCUCCUUUCACUUCCUUUUCUCUUUUCAAGACCAUGGCAGCUGUGCCGAAAAAGGAAGUCCCUGCCCCAGCUGCAGAAGCGGUAGCUGGCCCAAGUGUAGCCAAGGAUGAACCAAAGGCCCCAGAGGACCCUGCUGUGGACAGCAAGCCCGUGUCAGGGCCCUCCGAGGUUAUGGAGAAUUCCCCCGUCCUCCCUAAGAGACUGGAGAAGAGGAACUCCAUCCACUUGUUCUUCAAAAACCUGGGCAAACGCCAGUCAGAUGCAGGAGUACAAACAGAACCAGAGAAGACCAAAUAAAACGGAAACACCCUUUCAAACUUCACAUGCCAUAUCUGGAAAUGAACUUUUCAUUUGUUAGAUACAUUAUGUUUCUGAUCACACUAUUGAAGGGAUGAUGGUAAGAGCAAGUGGUUUGAGGGAGAGGGGUGGACUGUGGACUGGUCUGUUCUAGUCUAAUCUAAUCUGUGUGGAUGAUUUCAGAGAAUUGUUCUUUGUGGAGGAGGUAAAAUAUAUUUUCUGGUUUAAAGGCUUGAUAGGUAGAGAAAAGUGGUUUUGUUACAUGUACUGAGAGCAAAAUCCAUUUCUAUACAGUAUUUACCCUUCUUUUAACAUGUCACUUAUUCCACGGAGGGCUGAGUGUCUGCGGGUUUUUGCUCCUCCCUUGAUUGAUUAAUUAAGGUCACUAAUUAGUAAAGAACUCCCCUCACCUGGUUGUCUAAGUCUAAAAACAAAACACCCACAGACACUAAGCCCUUCAUGGAAUGUGUUUGACACCACUGCUUUAACAUAUUAAUAUGUGUAAGGAUCUAAUGCAAAUAUUACGUUUAGCAUAUUUUUUUCCCCUCUUCAUAUACACAUUUUACUAGUCUGAAAAGAACUUGUGGAGUGCAUACAAUGGUUUCAGAUACGUUCAUAGGACGUCUUGGAGAAGAGAUGCAUAAAGCUUAGCUUGAGAUAGAAAUUGAAUAUACUCAAAAUUUAAUGGAGGAGUUGGCGAAAUGGUUGAUAUUCCUGCCAAGAUGUUUUUAUUUAGGCUAGACACAUGCAAUUUACAAUGUAAGCUUUAAACUUUGCAGGAACUGUACACGGAUGCAAAUAUAUGCCAAACACUAAAUUACAAUUUAUGAUUAUAAUCAUACACAGGGGGCGCUCCCAAUCAUUACUUUUUUGGGGAACUACACAGAUCUGGUUGUCUAUAUAGCUAACUGCACAGUCAUGCAUCAUAUUUGAUUAAUGUUUCACUGAAGUAUAAAGGUUUGUUCUAAUUUGGGUGCACUGCUUUACGUGUGUGCCUGUUUGAAUGCAGAUGUUAUAAUCUUGGGGAUCUUGUCUGUUAAUUUCUGCAUCUAUAAUUUGAUAAACUGCAUCUGGAAGUAGAAUGUUUAUUGUGACAGCAAAUUCCAAAUCAUGAAAACCUGCAAUGGGGUAUUGGGGGGGGGGGGGAGUUCUACUGAGCUAACAUAUGGAAUUUUUUUAAGAUCAUACCAUGGAUCCUUUAGCUAUUUAAUUUUUCAUUUAGGUAAAAUAUUGAAUUUGGCUUUUAAUGCUAUAGCCUAUAGAAAUGCAAUGAAUAACACAUUCAUAAAUGGCAAAACGGAGAGUACAAAAAGAAAUAAUAUAUAACGUUUUUGAAGUGUCUGUCCUACAUCUAGGAGAUGUAAUAAUGUUCAGGAUUUACACAUAUUUAACCCAUUUUUUGGGGGUGUCACAAAACUACUUCUAUAUAUUUUUUAUUAUGUUAAUUAAAUUGACGCACGGGUGCGUUGAUGGACUUUAGGGGGUAUUUAAAGCUAUUUUCCUGUAACUGUUUAAAGAGAAUAAAUGUGUACAAUUAUUUGUUUUCUUGUUUUCUAUCUCACAAUUUAGGCCAAAAGUUAUCAGUAUAGGGAAAUAUGAAAACAUAUUUAGAGUGAAAUUAAAUGUCCCUGUAAUAUAGUGAUUUAAUGUUAUCAAACAGUACUAUCAAGUGCUGCAAUAACUGAAAAAGACAUGACCCAACAAGUUUAUCAACACAUCUUGUAUUCCCAAAGUAGGGAGCCAAGCUGUUUUCAGCUAUGUUAGAAGUAUGGAG